rnacentral:rRNA from 1 species
GUGUCAGCAGCCGCGGUAAUACGAAGGGACCUAGCGUAGUUCGGAAUUACUGGGCUUAAAGAGUUCGUAGGUGGUUAAAAAAGUUGGUGGUGAAAUCCCAGAGCUUAACUCUGGAACUGCCAUCAAAACUUUUUAGCUAGAGUAUGAUAGAGGAAAGCAGAAUUUCUAGUGUAGAGGUGAAAUUCGUAGAUAUUAGAAAGAAUACCAAUUGCGAAGGCAGCUUUCUGGAUCAUUACUGACGCUGAGGAACGAAAGCAUGGGUAGCGAAGAGGAUUAGAUACCCUCGUAGUCCAUGCCGUAAACGAUGUGUGUUAGACGUUGGAAAUUUAUUUUCAGUGUCGCAGCGAAAGCAUUAAACACACCGCCUGGGGAGUACGACCGCAAGGUUAAAACUCAAAUGAAUUGACGGGGACCCGCACAAGUAGUGGAGCAUGUGGUUUAAUUCGAAGAUACGCGCAGAACCUUACCAACACUUGACAUGUUCGUCGCGACUUUAAGAGAUUAAAGUUUUCGGUUCGGCCGGACGAAACACAGGUGCUGCAUGGCUGUCGUCAGCUCGUGUCGUGAGAUGUUGGGUUAAGUCCCGCAACGAGCGCAACCCUCACUUUUAGUUGCCAUCAUUAAGUUGGGCACUCUGAAAGAACUGCCAGUGAUAAGCUGGAGGAAGGUGGGGAUGACGUCAAGUCCUCAUGGCCCUUACGUGUUGGGCUACACACGUGCUACAAUGGCAUUUACAAUAGGAAGCAAGAUGGCGACAUCAAGCAAAUCCUAAAAAGAUGCCUCAGUUCGGAUUGUACUCUGCAACUCGAGUACAUGAAGCUGGAAUUACUAGUAAUCGCGGAUCAGCGCGCCGCGGUGAAUACGUUCCCGGGUCUUGCACACACCGCCCGUC